rnacentral:rRNA from 1 species
CAGUCGCCGCGGUAAUACGAAGGGUGCAAGCGUUAAUCGGAAUUACUGGGCGUAAAGCGUGCGUAGGCGGUGAGUUAAGUCUGCUGUGAAAUCCCCGGGCUCAACCUGGGAAUGGCAGUGGAUACUGGCUCGCUAGAGUGUGUCAGAGGAUGGUGGAAUUCCCGGUGUAGCGGUGGAAUGCGUAGAGAUCGGGAGGAACAUCAGUGGCGAAGGCGGCCAUCUGGGACAACACUGACGCUGAGGCACGAAAGCGUGGGGAGCAAACAGGAUUAGAUACCCGCGUAGUCCCUGUCUCUUAUAC